rnacentral:rRNA from 1 species
UACGGAGGGAGCUAGCGUUAUUCGGAAUUACUGGGCGUAAAGCGCACGUAGGCGGCUUUGUAAGUAAGAGGUGAAAGCCUGGAGCUCAACUCCAGAAUUGCCUUUUAGACUGCAUCGCUUGAAUCAUGGAGAGGUGAGUGGAAUUCCGAGUGUAGAGGUGAAAUUCGUAGAUAUUCGGAAGAACACCAGUGGCGAAGGCGGCUACAUCC